rnacentral:rRNA from 1 species
GACAGAGGCCUCAAGCGUUAGGCGGAAUCACUGGGCUUAAAGCGUGUGUAGGCGGAUUGGUAAGUACUUUGUGAAAUCCCACGGCUUAACCGUGGAACUGCUUGGUAUACUGCCAGUCUUGAGCCAGCUAGGGGCUACCGGAACAAAUGGUGGAGCGGUGAAAUGCGUAGAUAUCAUAUGGAACGCCAAUGGUGAAAACAGGUAGCUGGGGCUGUGCUGACGCUGAGACACGAAAGCCAGGGGAGCAAACGGG